rnacentral:rRNA from 1 species
AUUGAACGCUGGCGGCAGGCCUAACACAUGCAAGUCGAGCGGUAGAGAGGUGCUUGCAUCUCUUGAGAGCGGCGGACGGGUGAGUAAUGCCUAGGAAUCUGCCUAGUGUGGGGGAUAACGUUCGGAAACGGACGCUAAUACCGCAUACGUCCUACGGGAGAAAGCGGGGGAAUCUUCGGACCUCGCGCCAUUAGAUGAGCCUAGGUCGGAUUAGCUAGUUGGUGAGGUAAUGGCUCACCAAGGCGACGAUCCGUAACUGGUCUGAGAGGAUGAUCAGUCACACUGGAACUGAGACACGGUCCAGACUCCUACGGGAGGCAGCAGUGGGGAAUAUUGGACAAUGGCGAAGCCUGAUCCAGCCAUGCCGCGUGUGUGAAGAA